GCGGAUGGCCGGAUGACCGCGGGAUGCCGCAAGGUGUGUCGAGGAAAGUCCGGACUCCAUGAGGCAAGGGUGCCGGGUAACGCCCGGCGGGGGCAACCCCAGGGAAAGCGCCACAGAGAUGAUACCGCCCCGCCUGCGGGGUAAGGGUGAAAUGGUGGGGUAAGAGCCCACCGCGGACCGGGCAACCGGGACGGCACGGCAAGCCCCACCCGGAGCAAUGCCGAAUAGGGGCCUUGCGCGGAAAGGUCCGGCGACCUCCCGGAAACGGGAUGCCGGAGACCUCCGCAGGGACGCUUCAGCCCAGAGGCCCGGGUUGGCAGCACGAUCCCGCCGGUAACGGCGGGACCAGAGGAAUGGUCAUCGAAGGGGGAAACCCCGGAACAGAAUCCGGCUUACAGGCCAUCCGCGCAC
rnacentral:RNase_P_RNA from 1 species